UGAUAUAAACAGGAAGCAGAGCAAAGAGUGUGUGGGAGCAGGAACAAGGCAGGCUGUAGUGGCUAGCAGCUGCUUAGGCACCAGAAGUUAGCCCAAAGUGACUCAGAGACCUGGGUGUGGAGAGUAAGUUUGGGAGUACUGAAUCCAUGGCCUGAUGAACAGUUUUUCAGGUUAGACUGGAAUCAUUUCUUCUGGGUCAGCCGUGCUAAGAUUUGGACUGUUGUUGUUCUGUGGGAUGCCAUUUGUCAUCACAAAUGCACCAUUUCUUAUACUGGGACAAAUUUGAAAAAGUGCAGACUGAGUGAGCAGGAGGGACAUGGCUAACAAAACUAGCAUGUGGUGAUGGAGGAAUGAUUGCUGGCAACCAAAGAAUUUGUUCUGAAGAAGGAGGACCCUGUUGAGUGAACUACUGACAUUUAAGAGGCAGGGUAUUUUAUAAUGCAUAAUGUACAAUUUCCAAAGCUUGAAUUAAACAAAGCUUUUAUCUACAAAA